rnacentral:rRNA from 1 species
UACGAAGGGGGCGAGCGUUGUUCGGAAUUACUGGGCGUAAAGGGCGCGCAGGCGGCUCUGAAAGUCAGAUGUGAAAGCCCCGGGCUUAACCUGGGAAUUGCAUUUGAUACUCUGGAGCUUGAGUGUGGGAGAGGAGAGUGGAAUUCCCAGUGUAGAGGUGAAAUUCGUAGAUAUGUGGAGGAACACCGAUGGCGAAGGCAGCCCCCUGGGUUAACACUGACGCUCAUGCACGAAAGCGUGGGGAGCAAGCAGG